rnacentral:piRNA from 1 species
UGAGGAGACUGUACCCCGAGCAC